GACGAACGCUGGCGGCGUGCCUAAUACAUGCAAGUUGAGCGCUGAAGGUUGGUACUUGUACCAACUGGAUGAGCAGCGAACGGGUGAGUAACGCGUGGGGAAUCUGCCUUUGAGCGGGGGACAACAUUUGGAAACGAAUGCUAAUACCGCAUAAAAACUUUAAACACAAGUUUUAAGUUUGAAAGGUGCAAUUGCAUCACUCAAAGAUGAUCCCGCGUUGUAUUAGCUAGUUGGUGAGGUAAAGGCUCACCAAGGCGAUGAUACAUAGCCGACCUGAGAGGGUGAUCGGCCACAUUGGGACUGAGACACGGCCCAAACUCCUACGGGAGGCAGCAGUAGGGAAUCUUCGGCAAUAGACGAAAGUCUGACCGAGCAACGCCGCGUGAGUGAAGAAGGUUUUCGGAUCGUAAAACUCUGUUGGUAGAGAAGAACGUUGGUGAGAGUGGAAAGCUCAUCAAGUGACGGUAACUACCCAGAAAGGGACGGCUAACUACGUG
rnacentral:rRNA from 1 species